UAACUAUUAAGCAUUAAACCGAAUUAAGUUUCAUACAAAACAUUUUUAAGCUCAGUUUACAUUAGUUACAGUUAUUAGCCAUAAAAGCCACUACUGUAAUCAAAAAAGAAGUUUCAGAGCUUUUCCUCUGCAUGAACGAGAUUGGAAAUGAUUUGAUAAUGGUAUUUUGGAAACUUUGGUUACCAUAGUGACAAUGGUCCUGGAUCAGCAUUUGCGAAUACAGUACAUCCCAAGUACAUCAAUGAAUGCAUUCAUUUUGGAUCAACAUUUUUCUUUGAUGUUUUCAAAGACAGUGAAGAUUAUUAUUAUCCAUGAUUAAUCCUUGAUUAGCCUAUUCAGAAGGUUAGUAAUAAAUACUUUACUUUUGGAAAUAUACUGUAUCUGGACUCAACCCACAUAAAUCAGGCAUGGAAAAUCUGAUUAUUAAACAUUAUUAGUAAACUGUAUUCAUUUAUUUAAAAAAAAAAAAAAAGUAAAUGUGGAUUCAAGCUAGCUAAACUCAGACAUUAGCUAAUUAGCACAAACCUGUUCUAUGUAAUUAUCUACUAGCUAGCUCAGCGUUGUAUUACAUUAUGCCACGUGAUAGUUGAAUUUCAGGAAUUUUUAAUUUUAUAAAUACAUAUAAAUAAUACAUUUUGGGUUAUACAAAGAAAUGCAGAAAAUAACUUUGCCUCUUGUCGGUCGGGUAAUGGUUUUGAAGCAAUGUUGAUCGGCACACGCUGAUGACAUCAGAGGGCUGUGAUUGGUUGAUGGAAAUUUUAUUCACCUCGACCAACACCUGACUAGUAACUUAUCCGAUAACAAUAAAUAUAUAAAGUCAACUCACCGAUCCUUUUACCUCCAGAAAUCUUGGAAAGGUUAUAAGGACUUUUUUGUUUGUCCCAGGAAGUGGACAAGGCCCUGUUGAUAUCUAAAGGUCAUUUUUAUUUAACUUCAUCUGAGGAAUGCAUAAGAAACGACACAGCUCCCCUGCAUGCAUCUUCCUCCGACUGCUGCUCAUCAAGACUGGGUGUCCUCCUGUAAUAUAUUCAGUACAAGCUUCUGAGGAUGUCUGCUAUGUUUAGGGGUGUGGUGAACCACAUGCGGCAGAGUUAAGUAGGAAAAAAAAAAGUGUAUUCACACAUACAGCACAUUCAACGCGGCAAGUCACCAGAAGGCGUUCCUACUACUGGUUGUCAUAGUAACAUUUAUUAAUGGCUGGCACAAUUAGAAUUCCACUUUUGACAACAAACCAGUUUUCUUCCCACUAAAAUUAAACAUUUUGCAGGGAGAGCAUUUGUAUAUAAAAGUGUAUAUAUGCAUCAUAUCCUAAGUGUUCUCACAUCUAGUCACCAACGGUUGCUGUCGCUUAUGUCGCCGGAAGUCACCAGCUCUCGUUGAAAAUGCCUCCCGUUGCUUUGUUGCUGCGAGUCGCUGUGUGUGUGAACGUGGCUGAAAUCUUAUUGUGUUGAAAUUUUGUUUCAUUGCAUCUUUCCUAUUAAUCUGUAAGUGGAGUUUAAUACAUCAUGGAAGGCUUAAUUGCUUUCAACAAUGGCAUUUAUCAGCCAAUCAGCUUUCAGCAUGCAUUUGACAGCUAACAAUGAUCUAUCGUCAAGACACAUGAAGGUUAGUGACCUUCUAGGAGCCUAUGCAUCCUGGGUCACUGGGUGGAGCUGUUGAUGCUUUCACACUUAUUAACAAGCAUACUUGGGAAAUUAGGCGUAUGUUGAAAUUUCCUCCUGUUUCUGUGGAUUAAGACAUAAUAAUUCCCACGCAACUUUAAGAUCAUUUGUGUAAUAUGCUAAAGCCACUUUUGCAACCUAGUCCUAGGAUUCUUGGCAUACAUUUAUUAUUAAUACAGUUCAAUGAAAACUCAUAAUCCAAGCGCUUACAUGUUCAUGCAAUAAAAAUAAGAACAUUUAUAGGUCUGUGUACAUCAGUGGAUGGGUUUGAACCACACUUUACUCUGUCCAUCAGUGGAAAGAGACCACCGAAAGACCAACGGUAGAGGGGUGCCAAUACAUUUGUGCAAAAGAUCAGACAUCUUAGACAUCUAUGAAUUCCUUUUUAAGUGUAAAGUGUUCUUUGGUUUGACUUUUUGAGAAUACCUUUAAGAGUGUUCACUUUUAACCCUUAAUUCCUAAAAGAGAACAGCAUAUUUUUAUUAUUUAUAUUAUGAAUCGCCUCCAAUUCACUGCUGUAAGUUAAAGUGAACAGCUUUGCUAUACUGGCAAUAUGAAAAUAGCUGAUUUGUAGUCUUACAGUCUCUCCUGUGACAAAAUGGCGGUAUAACGUAAGAAAAUGGCGGUAUAACGUAAGAUAAUGGCGGUAUACGUAAGAAAAUGGCGGUAUAACGUAAGAAAUGGCGGUAUAAUGUAAGAAAAUGGCGGUAUAACGUAAGAAAAUGGGCGGUAUAACGCUGCACUGCAGGGUGUUAGGUGUGAGUUUAAAGUUAUUUAAAGUUUUGCUGAAACUCUGCCACAUUAGUUCAUAAACUUUAAAGUAUUUAACAUUCAAACUAGAACUAACAGAACCCAGGUUCUUGAGUCUUCUGUAAUGUUACUCAAUUACAUUUCCAUUUAAACAAAACAACUUUCUAAUAUCCAUUUUAAUUUGUACAAAGACCGAAGAAGUUUUCACUGUACAAUUUUUGGGUUGAUUUACCGUCUUAAAAGAACACUAAAAGGGAAAAAAAUUGCAUACAAGAUGUAUAAAUGAGAUUUUUGUCUAAACAUCGCAAAAACCGACAUCUUAGGAAAUGAUCUUGAACAUAGUCAGCUGUAUUUCCUAUUACAAGAUGACCAGAAACCACGUACAGUACACUAUGAGAUAAUCAAAACUAUUUAUAGACUUAAAUUUAUUUAUUUUUUACUAAUUUCAAGCUUUUCAUUCUAUUGGCAGAUAAUUUUGCUUCUUUUUUAGAAAUAAACGCAUAAAAUUACAAAACUACCUGCUCAACAGAACAAAUCGAUUUCAAGCUUAAAAUGAGUAAAUAAUGCCUAGAAAUAGGUUUAAUAAUCUUAUAUUUAUGGUAUCUUUACGGUAAGCUUAUCAUAGGAAAUACCAGAUAUGUUGAAUAAUAUUCAAGAUAAUUUCACUAGAUAUUUAUUUAUUUAUUUCUGCAGUGUCUGUUUAAACGUGCAAAUCGUGUUCCGUGUGUUGUUAGUUUUGUGUCGUAUGUACUGACUGGAAAUAAAGAAAAUACUGACAUGGAAAGUAUUUAUAUUGCAAUGUGACCUUUAUUGCCUAUGAGAAAGGAAGAUCUUACAUUACAAAUGCACUCAUUUGUUUUUCCAUAAUGUUUUAAAUGUUUUAAGGUACUUUCUCAGAAGGUCUUCAGACUUGUCUAAAGAGUCGUUUAAACUUGGCCUUGAUCCUUAUUAUAUUAUAUGGUAUUAUAUUCUAUCCAUAGAUUUAUAUUUAUAGCUUAAAAUAGUAGCACACAGCUUUGUGGACGUAUUUUUGGAUUCACACAAGUACAUUACACACUCACGAUUAAAUCAAACAACUCUGAUUAGAGAUAGAAUUAUACAAUUUCAGUGAAAUACUGUCAUGCGCUAAGUUUUUACCACAACAGUAUUUAUAUAUAUAUAUAUUUAUAUAUAUAUAUAAAUGAGACAACUCUAUUAGUAUUAAACCAAAGACACGAAUGUUAAUAUCUCUUGCUGAAGCUAGCUGUUGAAGUUCAUUAACAGACAUUUACAGUGUUAUUGUCAACAUCAACACACACACACACACGUUCAUGUUACAGCACAUUAAUUUCCACGCUCUCAUGCAUCACUUGUACGCUCUGGAUUUAAAAAAAAAAAAAAAAAAGAAAAAAAGAAGAAGAAGAAAAAAAAAAGGACCAAAGUAAAAAAAUAAUAAAUCGAUACACAGGGCCGAGUCCAAAACGCAGACUUUUAGCUCUACAAUCAUUAAUCUGGCUGUGAUUAAAUACAGAAGUAAAUAUAAAUAUAGAUAUAGAUAUAUAUUGCACUUAUUGUUAGGUGAAAUAAGGCAGAAUUGUAAAGAAUGGCAGUAACGCAAACCUUCAGCACCUGUGAGCACUCAUCACAGUGACCCUCGCACGAGGAAAUAAAAAUACAGACUCGUGCAUACACCUCACGCUCAUAUGGCUUACGACAUAACCGUCUGUGUAGAGUCAUACAGAAAUGAUCAUAUAUCAUAUCAUAGAGCUUUUGUUUGAUCUUUAAUCAGGUCUCUACAGUACAGCAUAUAAACUCGAGUGCAAUCAGCCCAAAAUCUGCCCAAAAUCCAAGCUGCCGUGAAUAUAAGUCACACUAACCAUUCAUUCAUAUUUUAAUAGAUAAUACACAGGGAAAGUGUAAAACCUUUGGUCUACAGUCACGUCUAUUUUUCAUUUCUAUUUAGAAAAUUAAACCUUACAACAAACCUGUAGUAGUGAUGCACUGAACGUCUGUCCACACGUUAUGUUUGACCAAAAAUUAACACAAAAAUCAUUUUCAGGCAUAAAAACUACAAAAUAACUCAAAUAAACAAGAGAAUCAGGUAAACAAAAACAUUCCGAUAAAAAUGUCUUCAUAUAACCAUCACAUAGUAUGAAACGUUUGGUCUAGAUAAUAUUACAAGUCUCAGUUUUACCCAAAAUCUUUUAGACUAAAAACGAUACAAAUAGUGGUUUUCACACACACACACACACACACACACACACACACACACACACACACACAAACAAAGAUAUAUAAUAAUUAGAAUAAAAAUAAUACAGUGAAAUAAUAUUAAAUGCAGUGUCAGAAAACAGGUAAACAUUUCUUUACUGUCACUUCAUUUUAAAAAAAAGAACACCCUCAGAGUAAUAUCUUCCUGAAAGAACUGAUCUGUAAAUGUGAGGGUUUUUAAAUGAUUGUUUUAUAGUACGUUAUUAGACAUUAAUUAAUGUACAGUAAAAUAAUCAUAUCGUUUUUGGAAUUUAUGUAACAGCACAAAGUCAAGUGGGGUUUUAUUAUUAUUAUUAUUAUUAUUAUUAUUAUUAUUAUUAUUAUUAUAUGACUUGUAUUAUAAUUGUUCGGUUUCAGUGAAUAAUAUUCAUUCUGAUGCUUCAUUAUAAUAUAAACAUCUAAAACCCUCAUUUCCCCCUAAAUAGUCUGGCGUCAUCCGCUUAAUAUUUAACAUAACCAUCUGUCAUUUUAGGAACUUAUUUGAACUUUAUAAACGAUAGGAAACUUCAGGAUUGUUUAACGAAUCGAUGUGUAAAUAAAAGUCUGACUUCAUUAAACAUCAUCUACCGUAACGAGCGACUAACGUGGAAACCGUUUACACUACAGCGGACGAUAUGAGUUACACUUCCACAACGUCACGAACGUGUUCCACUGAGCUGAACUGAGCUUUAAAAAAGGUUCUCGACUCUCACGAGUACUCAUGCAAAAAUAAAGUGGAUCAAAUCAUCUCCACACACACACACACACACACACACACACACACACACACACACACUGAUACUGGACACACACAGAGUCAGGAACAUUCCCAACAACGAUCCAGACCAAAACCACGGUAAUUAGGGCAGCAGAAAAGCAACACUGAGCUCCGAGUUAACGAUCUGCUCGUUAUAAACGCACCACGUUAUUAAUUAAACACAGCCCUGAAUUUAACAACCGCUUUACACACAGACAACAAGCGACCAGCACAAGCGCACAACUAAAGCAACACACUGACACUGCAUAGGGCAUAAAACACAGUCCAGGAUCACUCUCUAUUAACAUCCCACUACACACACACGCGCACACACACGCGCACACCCCGCCAGCCUCGUCUCAUUCAAUCUGCUAAUCUGUGUUCGGAUAUCAGCGCUGUGCCAAGCGGCCAUGUUUACUCCUCUCUCUCUCUCUCUCUCCCACUCUCUCUCUCUCUCUCUCCCUCUCUCUCUCUCUUCUCUCUCUCCUCCCACUCUCC
ensembl:lncRNA